UCCCUGGUGGUCUAGUGGUUAGGAUUCGGCGCUCUCACCGCCGCACUGGGAACCCGGGUUCGAUUCCCGGUCAGGGAA